CCUAAGGGGCUGGUAAAGGCACAGGUAAAGGAAAAUGUGCAGUGUUGCUCUUCUAGUUUCUUCUCGGAACACUUCAUGCUGGUUUUGUUAGCCAACCAGCAGUCCCUUACAGAGUGCCUGGGUGCAGCUUGGAGGUUAGGAUGUGAAGGGACCAGCCCAGCAAGUCUGAACAUGGCCACACUUGGGAUUUUUGAAAGGGAGAAGGAGAGGCUGUGGAGUUUAGCUGCCUGGAUACAAAUCAUGCCCUGCCUUGGCUUCCAAGCUGUGCUCAGUCCCUUUGCCAGUUUUUGCAUUAAGUACAGAUAAAGAUUAUGGGCCUAAAAAAACAUGUGAGGUUUGUAUUCCAGCCGUUCAAGAGAUUUGUUGUGUGACAUCUGAAACACUGUUGGGUUUGUACUAAUAGAGAUCCUUGUUCGCAGAAAGUUGUCUUCUAUAAGAUCAGUGCUCCAGGAGAAUCGUGUAUUCAUAGAUGUGCUGAAAAUUAUGAGCAUUUUAUCUUACUGGAUGAUAAAAAAUAACAGGAAGGGGGAUACUAUCAACCCACUGCUACAGACAAGACCUAGAAGAGGUUGCAGUGGAGAUCUUUUCUGGGGAGGGUCCAAAACUGCAAGAGAGGGAGUUUAAGACCCAGGCACUGUAUUUCCCUGCUCCUUCACGGCAACCAGAGACACCACAGCUGUAGACAGGCCUUGUUUUUACUCCACAUCCCAGUUUCUCACUCAAUAACUUCUACAGUAAUACAAGGAAAGAUCAAAUCUUGAAACUCAUUCCUUUUUGCUUUUUCAUUUGGUAUUGUUUUCAUUCUAAGCACUCUCCUGUGACAGAGUCCCUGAUUAAAAGAGUUCACUAACAAAAUGGAGAUGCAAUGCAGAAAAAUGGAUGAAGAAAGAAAAGGAGGGAAAGGAGUGUCCUGUGUCCCUUUGACAUCCUCUUGACAGCUCUUCUGCAUUCAUAUAUAUAUAUAUAUAUGUCCAACACAGACAUCUUGAAGAUCUAGUGUAUUAUUACAACCAUAUUACUGCACUACUUGUCAGGUCCAUGACAGACGUGAGCUUUCUGACAGGGGAGGAUGAGACUGUAAAAAGCUUUCUCUGGAGGUUAUUUCAUGCAUGGAGAGCUGCAAAAGGGAGGGCAGCAGAACAAGAGUAGGAAAUGGAGAAUGAAAGAAUGCCAAAGACUUCAUCAGGAUAAAAAGAUGAGAAGGGAAGAUCAGAAGAUCAAGGACAGGGCUACAUAGGGUCUUGAUAGUGAAAGGGAGAUGUCUAAUUUUUUAAGCUGUGUAAUGGAGGGAAGGCAGGGUGGGAAGGCAAGAGGGCAGCCAGGUGAUGUAUCCAGUGUGAUUUAAGCUAAUCCAUUCCCAGAAGGGGGACAGCAACUAUGAAACUGUUUUGGUCCAAAUGUGCAGGUUCCCUUCUUUUUAACAAAUAUUGCUCCUGAGAAAUCCCACGGGCUGUGGGAUUCCUAAGAUUUGCUUCUUGCAGCUUCACCUACAUUUAAAAUAAUUCUGCACCCUCAAUCACACAGUCAGGUAUCACAGAAGUCAUCUCUGUGUGACAGAGGUAAAGCUGUGAAUUUGGAAAUGAGGAGAUAGCACCACAGCCUGGCUCCUGUUGGAGUUGGACCUGUCUAAUCAGCCAAAAGGCUGCAUCUAACAUCACCUAACAUGCACCAUGUCACAGGAUGGGACAGAGAAGUGACAUGAUAAGCAGGCACAUGUUACUGUGCUCAAUUAGGUCCUGGCCAGUGGCACACUGCCCUGCAACAGCCUGGUACCCCAGUGUCUCCAUGCCCUGGGAACUCUCCUUGCAGACAUCUCUCCUAAUCCCACAUUGUCCCUUGCAUCAAGGAAAAAGAAAUUUGACAGUACAAAGGAAAAACAAAAACUUUACGCUUUCACCUUCUCCACUGAAUUAAUAAUCUCUGGCAGAUUUGUGGCUUCCUGUGACCCUUGAGUUUUACUGUCUGCUAGCACAUCAGGCACCGAUUUUCCUCUCUCUUUCCCCUACAGCAAGCAUUACAGUGAUCUUUCUCAACACUGACAGGGGCAGGGCUUAUUUCCAGUAAAAGGGCACCAUGCACAGCUGCACAGGGUAAGCGAGGUUAGGGAAAUAGGUGCAUCGGAAUAAUGAGAGCACAGAGAGCAGCAGGCUUUCAAUAUGUUUAUGCAGUUAAAUGUAACAAGUUCAGACACUAUCAUUUAUUUUUUGGCCAUUGUUCACCAGAAAAAAACCCAAACCCACCCGUGUGUUUGUGCCGCUUUCUCUCUGUGAGCACUUUCCUAUUUUUCUUAACCUCUGCAUUGCAGUGCAGCUCGACCGUGUACAUGAAGAUAUACUCCCUGCCCUGGGGAAGAUUCAAGAUAAGCAGAGAAGCGACAUACAAAUGGCAAGGGGGAGAGAGUGAUCUAAUCGACUGGCUGCAAGCUUUGUACAUUAAGAUAGGAAAA